GACGAACGCUGGCGGCGUGCCUAAUACAUGCAAGUCGAACGCAGUGGGGACGGGUGAGUAACACGUGGGUAACCUCCCAUCAGAGGGGAUAACACUUGGAAACAGGUGCUAAACCGAUACUGAUGGAUGGACCCGCGGUGCAUUAGCUAGUUGGUGAGGUAACGGCUCACCAAGGCAACGAUGCAUACCCGACCUUGUGGGGUGCUCGGCCAAACUGGGACUGAGAAACGGCCCAGACUCCUACGGGAGGCCGCAGUAGGGAAUCUUCGGCAAUGGACGAAAGUCUGACCGAGCAACGCCGCGUGAGUGAAGAAGGUUUUCGGAUCGUAAAACUCUGUUGUUAGAGAAGCGUUAUCUAACCAGAAAGCCACGGCUAACUACGUGCCAGCCGCCGCGGUAAGUC
rnacentral:rRNA from 1 species